ensembl:snRNA U6 U6 spliceosomal RNA
GUGCUGGGAUUCACUCCACAGCACACAUACUAAAAUUGAACGAUACAGAGAAGAUCAGUAUGGCCCCUGCACAAGGAUGACGGGCAAAUUUGUAAAGCAUGCCAUAUUUUU